AAACCCACCCUCCCCUCAAUUCCUCUGCCUCUUCUCUCUUUCUUGCUUUCCCUUUCUCAAUCAAACCCCAGGCUCUCUCUCUCUCUCUCUCUCUCUCUCUCUCUCUCUCUCUCUCUCUCUCUCUAUCUCUCUCUCAUUUUCCCCAAAUUUUUCUAUUUCCCUCUCUCUCUUUCUGUCUCGCCUCUCAUCUCACUUCUAAAGUCAAGUUCACAUCUCACGCAGAAACAUAAUUUGCAAAUCAUUCCCCUUUAAAUUUCACACAGACUCACACAUACAUUCUCACACUCUGCAAAUGCUUCUCCUUCACACAGACUCUGCAAAUUCUUCGUCUUCACACAGAAUUUGCAAAUCAGUCGACCUCAACUCUCAUCUCAUCCACAGUUCCCCUUCAGUUUAGUGCCUGCAUAAUGUGAUUCCUUCAUCUCCACUUCGUUCCAGGUAAAAUGGUAAGAACUUAGAUCUUGUAUUGGUUAAUUUAGUUAAUAAUUUGUGAUUAAUUUUAGGGUUAGGGUUAAGGUUAAGGUUCAUUUGAAACAAAAGGGGAAUUGAGCUUUUUCCUCUUUUAGGUUAUAAUCAAAAGGGGAUUUGAUCUGGUUCAGAUUCAAACAAACCCAUUUUUUCCUCUCUCAGACUCCGUCGAUGGAUGUCGUCUAUCAGCUAGACAACCUCCGCAUCAAAUCAACAACCAUUGCAUCAGCUGACAACCACCGCAUCAUGGACUCCUCCCAGAUCUGGGCUUUUCCUUUGUUAUUUUUCUAUGAUUUUUGUGUAAUUUAUUUAACUUUUUUUUUUUUUUUUUGUAUUUGAUCCCGCAAGAAACUCAAAGUCUCCUCAGGGAACUUGGUAAGUGAUUCACUUUUUUCCCACUAAAUAUUUGGAGCCUUAAUUUGAGAUUGUGCUUAAAUUCGUUUGAUUUGUCUACAAGUUUGUUUUAUAAAGAAAAUCAAAAGAAAUGUGAGUUUGAUAGUUGAUUUUAGGCUUUAGGAUGUAAUAUAAAUAUUCUAAUUUUGUUGGGGUCUAAUUGAUGGAACUCUGCAUGAGAGUGUGAAGCCUUUUCUCAUCUAAUUUGGAUUGAAAAUUGUUCUACAUUGGUGUUCAGUAAAAAUGGAUAUCUAUGGUUCAUUAACACUUUUCUUGCUCUGUGAUAUAAUAUUGAGUUUGGGCGCCGGUGAGUUGCCAUUUCAUAUCUUUUUCUUGCUCUGUGAUAUAAUAUUGAGUUUAGGUGCCGAUGAAUUGCCAUUUAAUAUCUGCCAGUUUAUUCCUUAAUCAAUUAAAAAAUGAUAGAUGAGAUUAGGAUAACAUCAUUAUCAUUGAAUGUGAAAAUUUGUCAAUGUCUUAUAGUUAAUUAUGAUGCCCAUGACGAGAUGUGCAUUUUUUUUCAUUAUACUUAUGUGUUCUGUCAAUUAAACUCCAGACCAACUACUAAUUACCUUCUAAGUUCCUAAAAUUCAUGUUUGUUAUAUGUUGUAGGAAAUGACCUAUUUUGAGAUUUUUUUUUUUUUUUUUGCAUCUCUCUCUCUCUCUUUUAUUCUACAUUCGAAAGAGGUAGAAUUGCAUUAUUGCGACUGUGGAUUGCUUUUUUCAUAUGUUAAUUUGUGUGAAGAUUGAUUGCCAUGCAUGAAGAAAUUAAAAAUGUUACUAAAGUGGCUGGCAAAAGUCCUUAUGUUUCAAUCACAAACGAGUGCAUGUAUACAUAGCAGAAUUACACCAAUUAAUAUGUUGGAGGAAGGAUAUAUAGCAUCUCAUCAAGUAAAGAAAAGGAAUCAUGAUUUAAAAAUUUGGAAGCCAUUACAUACUCAUUCUUGUUGCUCUGUGUAAAUGAUGUCACCUUCAUUUUCAAGAGCUUCUUGGUAGUCUAAAUUUAUAGUUCAUUUUUUCAGCGAUAUCCAAUGUGAUAAUGUAUUUUACUGCUUGAUAUAUUUCUUACUCAUGGUCAUUUUUUAAAGGCUGUCAAAGCAGGGGAUGUCAAUACUGGGUUAUUUGUGGUGGUUGAAGGUUGUUUGGCUUCCGACGAAUUCAAAUGCAAUGGUAUUCUUAGGAAUUAUUGGUUUCAUUAUCUGUAUGAAUCGGUUUGUAGAACUAAAUCAUAAAAGCUUGUUUUUGCCCUACCCAUAGUUUAAUUGCCUGAUCUACAAGGUAUUCAUAUUUGGUGGGUCGAUUGGAUGGUAUCCUUAGAAGAUAUACAAAUUUUUUUAUCAAUCUCUGCAAGGAGAAAUGGCUUGAGGGGUUUGUUGUUUUGCAUUCUAGUUAUACUAUGUCUUCUUGGAAUUGUAUAUAAGAUGCACUUUUUUCUUUAAUUAUUCUUAAUAAAGACUAAAGAGUACCAGCUUUUGUUUGUAUGUUUGUCUUGUUACCAGAGAUUUGGAAGUACCACCAAGCUGGCCUCCCUAUUUAGACAUUCCACGCUUUGAAGAUUUAAGUAUCACUGACAGUUAAGACUCAUUUCUCCAUUGUUUAGUUGUAUAUUUGUGAAUAUUCUAUUUAUCCAUUGUUUACAAUAGUUAAGACUCAUUUUCUCCUUUAAAAUUGCAAGUUUAUUGAUGAUGUAUACUAGAUAUGUCAUUAAAAUAAGUAACUCACUUUGACCCUAAAUAAUAUGCAAACUUACAUAUUUUUUCGAUUCAAGUGACUAUGAGCUAAAGAAAUGUGUUGUCUCAAACCCAGAAGCUUCUUUAACAACCUGGAGUGAGGAAUAUGAAUCUUUGAUAUGGCAGAUCUGGAACUUGUACGAAUUGAUUUUAACGAACUCCUUUUUAGGUGUAAUUUUGGACUGAUUUUCGUUUGAAAUCGCCUAUAUUUGUUAUGGCUUCUGAUGAGGUGCAAGGCUUGCUGAGGAAAAUGCAUAUGUCCAAAAAUAUGUGCUUUCAAGUUUUAUUGUAUUAGAGAUAAAAAAAGUAACAUUACAUUAUGUUUGUGAGAUUGGGAAUGUGUUGUAGGCCUUUUCAUUUUAAGAAAAUUAAAAAUUUUCAUUUCCUCAAUUUUAGUUUCAAAUUUUGAUUUUCUUUUUUUUUUUUAAUAUUUAAUUCAUGUUGGCACAAUUACAAUGUGAAGUGCCAACUUGUGUGGAAAAGGUUAUCUAACAAGUUGUCAGAAACGAGGCACAAAUAGUGGUUCACUUGUGUCUGCCUCUUUGAGCCCAAACAGUCUAUUGUGCUCUUUUAGCAAAAGGUAACGCCGCCUAUAGAGGGCACAAAUAGAAAUAGAGGCCAUAUUUUUUGUAAUGUUACUUCGUGGGACAUGCAGGUCAAAGGGCUACAUAUUAUACUGGCCUAAUUACACUAUGAAAAUUGCUGAGACUAGCCAAGCAAUCUUCAAGGCAAUGACGACUCUACUUCCAACCCAAGAAAGUUCGCAUUUGAGGAAGGAAAUGAUGUAGUUACUGAGAAUGAAAAUCAGAAUGAGAUGGUUGCUUUUUCUGGGCAAAUGGACGAUGUGGAUGUUGAUGACAAUCAUGAAGAUCAGAUGAAUGUUAAUAAUGAAGAAGGUGAAUAUGUACAAGUUCAAAAUGAGAUUGAAGUGCAUGCAGAUGUCACGAAUGGAGCACAACUAAUCAUGCAGCACACAUAACCUUAGUGCAGCAUGCUAUUGUUUCAUUAAGAAAGUCAACUAGGGUUAGGAAGUCAAAUACUAUGGAAGAUUUUGUAUAUGUUGCUGAAGGUGAGUCUUACUUGUAAAAGUUUGAAGACCCUAUGUCAUUUAAAGAAGCUAUGUCCAGUGACAAUUCUAAAAAAUGAAUAGAAGCAAUGAGAAACGAGUUGAGUUCUAUGGAAGGUAAUAAUGUAUGGGAAUUUAUGGAACCACUUCAGGGAGUUUAACCAAAGGGUGUAAGUGGGUGUUGAAGACAAAAAGAGAUUCGAAAUGAAGCAUUGAGAGGCAUAAGGCGAGGUUAAUUGCAAUGAAUUUACCCAGAGGGAAGGGGAUUGAUUACAAAGUUAUUUUUAGUCUAGUAUCAACCAAGGAUGCAUUUAGAGAGAUCAUGGCGUUGAUGGCACAUUUUGACUUGUUUUUACAUCAAAUGGUCGUCUCGAAUGAUGAUUUUGAAGAAGAUAUAUACAUGCAUGGCUCAACCAGAAGGUUUCAAGGAAGAAGGGGAGAAGGGAUAGAACAUUUGGUUUGUAUAUUGAAGAAAUCCAUCUAUGGAUUGAAACAGGUAUCAAGAUCAAUGAUUGUGACAACAAUGCAACCAUAUUCUUUACCAAGAACAACAAAAGGGUCCAAUGCUACCAGAAAUUUGGAUAUCAAGUUCCUUGUUGCUCGUGCAAAGGUGGUGGAGGGUUUGGUUAAAAUAGAUUACAUGGAUACAUCUUCUAUUAUAGUUGACCCCUUAACCAAAGCAGUCCUAGUAAUGGUCUUUAAGAAGCAUAUGCAUAACAUGGGGGUUUUACAGAAUUUUGAUUUCAUGGAAUAGUGGGAGCUUAUGGUAUGAUUACAUUAUUUGUUUAUCAAUCAUGUUUGUGUUUUAUUCAUGCAUUAAGUUAUUUGUUUUCAGUUUACCGUAGCUAAUAAAGAAAUAAACUGCUGGUCGCACAAGUUUCCCAUGUUUGUAGUUUAUAGAUAUGAUACAUUAGAUUUUCAAUGUGCUAUUGGGAAAAUCAAUUUAUGUUAACUGUUAUUACAGAAGGCAACUUAAGGGUCUCAAUGUGAGACAAUGAAGAAGACUCGUUGACUGGUUUUAUUAAAGAUGGACUAUAACACAAGGUGCAUUACAGAAACAUUCAAGUGUGCAUGUUGUAUUAAUUGUUCAUGUCUUGUUGGGGUUUCAUGUCUAUGACAGUUUCAUGAAAGUGAUUAUGGGGAUAGUGUUUAUGAAUUUUAAGGACCUGAUUCCCUUUAGUCCUCCAUGAAUACUAGCUUAUGACAUAUACUUGUUGAUGGGAUUUUGUUGUUCCUAUUCUCAUGGCCACUCAAGUAUGAUUCCUUAUAUGGUGGCCUGUGUGAAAAGCAUUGGCUCUAGUGGGAGAAUGUAAACUAAUUGGGGCUGCACACUUAGUUUAUCACGAGCUUAAAGGAUUGAAGUCAUAAGAGAUUAUGAUAGACUAGACUUGUAAAGCUAUCAGGGAAUGUAUUUAGACUAAUAUAAAGUUGAGAGUAAUCCUAGUAUGAAUAGGUUUAACUAUUCUGAUAUGAUCACUUUGGUUUGUGGUGAUAAGGUAAUCUGUUUGGAUGAUUUGAUUAGGAUUACAUGAUGGAAGUAACCUAAUCAAAUACCACCACUAAGGAUAUAUAAUAGGGGUCCUGUGUUCACACUAAAUACGCAAAAGCAAAAGAACAAGCCCCAUUGUUUGUUAAUUACAUACAGUUUUGUCGGGUGUAGAAGAGCUCUAUCUUUGCAGCAACAAUGAGUUCUCAAGGUGAGUGGUUAAUGGAUUUGUGAUUUGUUUAUUCUGCUAUUAAUUAUCUUACAUACGCUUCUAAUUAAUUGGUGUGUAUUUGUAUUAGUUUACCAUCAUAUGAAGGAUGUAUAAAUCGCUUCAAACUUGGCAUAAUUUUUUUUUUUUUUUUUAUAAAUUUGCAUAGUAAUUAUGAACAAUGGUUGUGUAGAGAUCUAUACAAUUACACUGAUCGAAAUAAAGAUAGUCUUCUACUCUCACAAAAUUGGAUGCUUAUGCUUUCAAUAGGACUUAGCACACUAUUAAGCUUAUAUUUGGAGAGCAGGGACCAACUUUUUUAUAGUCACAUAAGGCCUAUUGAUAUCCAUCUAUUAGGAAAACAAUAGGUCUCUCAAUAACUCAUAAUUAACUGCAAUAAGUCCACUAUAUUAUUAUUUUGAAUGUUUCAUAUAACCUACCAUUACAAAACUCUAUUAACUUAAUCAAUACACUUCUAUCAAACUAAUGAUUAUGUCUACUCAAAUUCUUACAUUCUCCCACUUGAGUAUACAUAAUCACAUAGUAAUGGACUAUAUAGAAUUAAGUUAUCAAUGAUCACUGAGUUUAUAUAACAAGAUUAUCAACUUAAACAUAGAUGUAAUCAACUAAAUCAAACCCAGAACUAUAGAGAUGUUGAUGCAUAUCAGCUGCAUCAUUACUCUAUAAUCACUGAAGUUUAACUCAACUGAUCACAAAGCUACAUGCCAAAUAAUGUAGUAUUGGAAGUGUCAUAUCUUAAUACUCCCACAUACAUGAUUAUCAACUAAAACAUAAAAUCACAAUUAACUAGAGUCAAUACUAACACACAAAAAUUAGACACACACGUGACCUGAGGAUGAAGAAGACAUGAUGCUAAAAAUAAAGAUAGUCUUCUACUCUCACAAAAUUGGAUGCUUAUACUUUCAAUAGGACUCAGCACACUAUUAAGCUUAUAUUUGGAGAGCUUGGACAAGCCUUUUUAUAGCCACAUAAGGCCUAUCGCUAUCCACCUAUUAGGAAAGCAAUAGUUCUCUCAAUAACUCAUAAUUAACUGCAAAUAAGUCCACUACAUUGUUGUUUUGAAUGUUUCAUAUAACCUACCGUUACAAAACUCUAUUAACUUCAUCAAUACACUUCUAUCAAAAUAAUGAUUAUAUCUAAUCAAAUUCUUACACUAAAAGAUUGCAAUUUGAGGUAAACAAAUAGAAACUAUAAAUAAAUUAAUUUUAGUUCAAAUAUUGGAUAUUUUUCUAGAAUUUUGUUAUUGUGAUGUUGAUUCUUGGAAGAACAUAAGAGGACCAAUUGGUUAUUGAAUUUAAUUACAUUCGACAAUCAAGUUCUAUUGUUCUUACUCUCUUAAAAUCUUAAAUACGAACUCUUUCAUCAACAAGGAAAAUAAUUGAGCUUAAGACUAGAGUUGACAAAUAAGGCGACGUACUAAGUUUUUUAUUUCGAAAUUUAUAGAAAAGUAAAAGUACUUUUCAAUUACUUAUAAAAAAAAUUAAGCUUAAACUAUUAGGACAUGUGAGCACAAUCCUUUUGUUCUCUUUUCAAGUCUAAGAACAAGUUUUCGUUGAUGCUGCAGUCAUUUGCUCCAUGGUAACCCCAUAAUUGCACAUGUUGGCAAUAAUUCUUGUGUAUUGCAUUCCAUAAUUUGAGAGUGCUCCACAAUAUUUCUCGUAAGUUUUCACCUGCAUGGAAGAUCAUCUCAUUAACUAGCUAGCAUCAAACAAGUUGGUUUUAACUAGGGUUUAGGUAUUUGCUUAAACAAAUAGAUCAUGUACUUGUAGUUCAUAAUUUUUCAUAUUACUUGUAUAUAUAGUUGUUACUAUACUAAUUCGUAAAAGAAAGACUUACAAAAGUCUUAAAGCAGUUCCAGUCAUCCACAAGAGCUUGCCCGUUACGCCGAAUAUUUUUCAUUUUUGAGCUAGAAUCAUAUCGAAACACUAGUUGCGCGAUUUGAUUUAUAUUGUCGUCGAUGCGCUCCCGACGAUACAUUUCAGCAGAUAGUUUCUGUUUAGCUUCAUGCUUCUCAUGAGAGCCAUCAGGAGCUUUACGUACCUGGAUGAAUAUAUGAUAUAUGAAAAGAAUGGUUGCAGCUCAAAAUCACAUUUUAAGAUUUAGAACUAAUCCCAAGUUUAAGAAACAAUAUUUAUAAAGAAAAAUUACGCCGAACAAUUUUGUUCUACCUAAUCCUAGCUAUCAUUAGGGUUUUUUUUUUUUUUUUUUACGAAAAUAAGACCGACCGAAAAAGUUGGUCAAAGAAAUUAAUAAAUUUAAUUUAAAAAAACACUAAGGACUGGUUUGGCAUUGCUGAAAUUAUUUUAAAAGCAACUUUUUAAUAAAGUUGAGGCUAAAAUUGUGUUUGGUAAAUGAAACAAAAAAAAAGUGUUUUUUUUUGUCAAAAUCAUGGAUCCAAAACAGUAGAAAACAGAAGCAACUCUACCCCUACUUCAGAAAACAUCGUUAUUUUUUUUCACAGCAUAACAACCCCAAACUAGAAGAGAGAGAGAGAUCACAGACCUUGUGCAAAAAGUGGAGGAGGUCUGCAUCACGUUGGUUAAAAACUGGCCCUAAGAAUGAUGGUGAGGAUUUAGUGUUGGUGUAAGUAGUAGAGUUGUCAUCUGAACCCAAGUAAGAGAAGAGUAAAUCCUUGGCUUGGUUCAAAUUUCCGUAUUGAGUAACAUGAGACCCAAGUCCUUCACUAGUAUUUGCGGUUCUAUUUCUAACCUGUAAAAAUGUAGCCAACAAAUUAAUAUAUGGUUCAAAUAAUCAAGUUUUUUAUUUUUUUUAUUUUUUGAACAAACGAUUUUAUCUACAUUAAGGGAGAAGGGGUACGCUUAGCUUCAUAAUAAACUAACAAUAAUGUAGUUCAAAUUCAUCUUUGGCGAUAAUCGAACCUAAGACCUCUCUUACAAAUUAAGAGGAAUACCAUUAGACCGUAAUACUAAGUGGCGACUCAAACAAACAAGUUAAAGUUCAAAUAAUGGAAGUUGACAAGGCAUAUUAAUAAAUAUAGUUUUUUUUUUAUAAAUAAGUAUUGAUAAAUAAAUAUAGUCAACUAGUCUGGUUUAUAGUUUGUGUGCUCAAUCUCAAGAUAUUAUGUAUAAGCUUUUCUUGGUAAAUAAUUACAAGGCAAAAGUUUCGAUUUCUUACCGUUUCAUAUUGGUUUGCAAAAGUUUCUCUUCGUAAAUCUUUGACAUCGCUGCUCCCCAAUUUACACAAAAACAGUAACAGAAAAUUAUUCAAAAAAUCUUCACACUUUCAAAUAAACGGUACGUAUUUAAUUAGUACUAGGGCCUGAAAAUAUUUUCAAUGAUAUUUUAAAUAUAGAAAGAAAUGUUUAAGGAAUAAUUGAGAACACUUCAAAUGCAUAAACGUAUCCGGUGCGCAUUAGACAAACAAAGUGAGAUUAUUGAGCACAGUACAAAGCACAUCCAAAGGUCUAGGCUCACUUUCAAAAAGGGACCUAAAUUUUCAUGUUUUUUAGUAUUUAUAUACCAAUGACUCUAGAUCAGUUAAUGUUCUCAAAAUAGUAUUUAUAUACCAAUGACUCUAGAUCCGUUUUUAAAAGUGACUUCAAACUUUUAUAAUUAGCUCGAGAUCAGUUAAUGUUCUCAAAUUAGUACUGAAUAUCACAUGCGUUAUGCUUACCAAUCUUCCAUCCAAGAAAUACUAUACAAGUCUCCCAAACAAGUGUCAUAUCCUGCAGGAGGAGCAGGAUCAAAACCAGGACAAUAUGUCGCCCAACUAUCUUGAGUUGCAUUUGCCGCUGUAGUCGCAUAGAUACUUAUAUUACUUGGAAGCAGACCCUCGAACAUGCUCCCAGAUUCACAAGAUUCUAGGUAAAAUACCUGAUUAAUUUUGGUAAUUACAUAAAAUCAUUAAUUUGAAUUUACAAAUCUACAAAGCAAGAAACCUUUUCUUUUAGCAAUUAGUUAUAUAUUGUACAGCUAUCACUAUUGUACUGCUUGACAAAAAUUCAAGGAAAAAAAAAAAUACAAUGACGACUUAUUUACCAUUUUUUUGUAACCCUUAGCUUCAUGCUUCUGUUUCAGAACGUCCACGAGAUCGUUAGCAUACACGUAAUCGCCUUCAGGCAUUCCUAAUUAAUCACCAUCCAAAACUGAUCAGGUAAUCUAUAUUAUGUCCAGGUUUAUAUAUAUAUAAUACACACUUGAUAAACAGUUAACCAGUAUUAUACAAAAUCCUGCUAUAGAAAAUACAUUUUUAUCAAGUAAUUAAAGUUACAAACCAAUUAUCCCAGAGGCGCCAUGGUCGGUAUAAUAUAUAAAAACAUUGUCAUUUGGACCGCUGUCCAGAAUCUUGCCACUGCCCCCGCUGAGAGCUGUUUUAUUUCCAAGAAUAACAGCAUAAAGAUUGGCAGCAGUAACAUUUUCUCCAGUGUAAUCCUACCAAAAAUAAGAAUAACAUAUGAAACAUAAUAUGUGGCGCAUACUUGAAAUAUCAUAUUAAGCAGUAAUUUCGUAACACCAAAUCAGUAUGUCACAUGUGUUACGAUGGUCCUCCAUCAUAAUAAGAUAGUAAAGAACCUUGGGAACCCCUUUGUAAACAUCAGGGCCAUCUGGCUUAUUGAUGAUGACACCAGGUCUAGGGUUCUCAACGUUGUUUGCGAUGUCAUCGUACAUAAAAACAAUGAUGUUUUCAUCUUUUAGUCCACCUUUCUUCAAUAUUUGAUAUGCAUGACACACAUCGGCCUAUCAUAUUGUGAGAAAUCAUGUUAGAAAAAUAAUACAUAAUUUAAGAGAUGAAAAGAAAUAAAAACAAGAAGAAAAAAAUUGCAUUUUCCAUUACAUUUCCAUAUAUUUUCUUGACAAACUUAUAUAUCAUACAAAUGCUUAUAUAUAAGUUGCUUUCGACAAAAAAAAAUGCAUAUGUAGUCUGAUUCUGAAUUGAGACAUGUGCUAACAAAAAUCAAUGAUCUGAUAUAUAGCAUGUGCACAGAGUAGUAAGGACAUAUACAUGAUCGAUUAAUGGCUUAAGAUGCACAGUAGUAUACAAGAGAACAUUUCUCAUGUAUUUAAUAGUCCUCUUCCAUUGAGGGAUCUCUUGUAGGGCCUAAGCCCUAAUUAAUGUAUUUCAAGGAUCCAACUGUUUAUCUUAGAGUCUUCCCUUAAAUACAACUAGCAUAUGGGCACACACAAAGUGUGUGAGAAAUUUUUUUUAUUUUUGUUUUUGAAAUAGAAGGAGAGAGGAAGAGAGUGAUAGAGAAUGUGGGAGUGGGAAGUUUUUUUUUUCUUUUUUUUUAAUUUUUUUUAAAUUAGAGAUGUGUUAGGAUUACAUGUAGGUGAGGCUUUGAAAAAAACAGCAAAAUUUGGUUGUGUGAAAUUACAUUUCUACCCCAUAUUUCUUCUUCAUGUUCUAUUUUAAUUAGAGGGUUAAACUGGUAAUUUCAUAAGGUUUUGGUUGACAAUUAGAGUUUUAUUAAUUAGUAGAGAUUAUUAUUAAAAAUCACCAAAAUCUGCAACCAUAUGAUUGUUUAAUUAAAUGGUAAUCAUUUUAGUGUUUCUUUGAAGAACUGCAUUCAUCUAUUUUCUUUACUACAAUUGGAUCUUAGUGAUUUUGAACUUGUGUAACUUAUUGCAAAAAUAAUCUAUGAAUGAUGAAUUAAAAUAUAAACAUUUGAAUGGUUAAGAAAAAGUUACGCAAUCGGCUCCAUAAGUUGUCCCUCAAAUAAACUUAUUUGAAGGAUCCUCAACGUAAUUAAAGGGAUUAUACUCAUACAUAUACUCAUAAAUAACUAACAUAUAUUUAAUGAAAGUGAUUAUAUAUACACCUGAUGCCUAUAGUUGCCAUAACCAAACGACCCAGCAACUAAGACUGCCCAUCUGGUUCCAUUUUGCUGAUCAGCCACAGUAGAAGAAGAUGAUGAGGCAGUAUUAACAUGAAUGAUGAAAUCCUCCGGAAAUUCUGAUGGCAUCAACUUGAAUCCAUUUGCGACGCUUUCACAACUCAAACUUAACAAAAUCGCAAUCAAUAUUAAAAAUGUUCUCAUUGUUUAAGCUCAAACUAAUUAAGUGUUGUGUGCUCUAAAUAACAAGCGUAAAAGCAACCAACUAUUUAUAGGGGAUUUGAAUUCUUGUUUGAAAAAUUAAUUAAUGGUCCGGAUUGAAACUUCGAUACGAUUAGAUAUAUGUGCAGGCUACGACAAUUGGGUUAAUUAACUUGUAUGCCGCGCAAGUUAAUUAAAUAUAAUUGUUGAUGUAACUGGGUUUUGUAACUUCAUCUUUUUAGAAUCCAUCGACUCUUCUUAAAAUAAAAUAAAAAUAUAAUUGUUUUCUAAUGGAAAGUUUGUCACGACUAACAUCACAACAUGUACUUCGAUGACAACAAUAAUUGGAAAGCUAGCAAAUUAUUCAUUCUUUUUCCUCUAUCGAUCAGGACAGCAGACUAACCUUUUCUAAUAUAGGUAGAUAUUGAGUCAUUUAGUAUUAUGAUAUAGUGGUUUUUUUCUUUAUUUAUAAAUAAAAGAUCUUAGGUUCGAUUCUCGCCAAAAGUAAAUUUGAACCACUUUAUUACAAGUAUAUUGUGAGGCUUAGCCCACCAUCCUCCCUCUUAAUGUAGAUAAUAUCGUUCAUUCAAAAAAAAAAAAAAAAAAAAAAUAUAUAUAUAUAGACAUUGAAUUUUUAGUGAAAUAAAUUUUUACUAAUAAAUUAAAUUUUGAUUCGCUAGGGCUUAUGUAGCGCAUGUUAUAGGUCUCGUCAAAUUACACACAUUGUAUGUGACUCAUCAAAGCCGAACGAGCCAUCAAGAGUGACACAUGUCGACAUCUGAGUCUUCUGUCAAACAACUCAAAUCAAGUAAAAAAGAACAAAUUAACCCUCAUUAAUCAAAUCCCUCAAUUAUGGUUUAAUUCCUUAAACUGCUGAUUCAAAUUUAAUUCAAUUACUUUCAAUUAAAUCAAAUCAGAAAAUCAAUCCCACAAAUAGGUAAACAUUUACAUAACAAUAUUUAAAUUGAUUGAUUUUAAACCAUUUGGUUCGGGUCUUUAAAUCAAAUAGCAUCAUCUACUACUUUUGGCAAAUUCUAUAUCCUUUAGUUGGAUUCGAGAAUUUUGGACAAAACUCUUAGUAAGGUAUGAGAGGCCACCUUUACUAAGCCCACCUCACAAUGACAUGAUGUUGAGUAGCAUUAAUAAUAAUGAGAGAGUAACUCUUGCUCAUUUACAUCUCUUGUAAGUUAUUUGGCCUCCAAAGAAUGUCACCCUCACAAUGAUAUGAUAUUGGCGCCAUGGCAUUAGUUAAGUCUUUCCCACCAUGCAAAUUCGUAUGGGGUUCAAGAAUAACCUCAAAAUGAUAUGAUGUUGUCACUCUCGUUGCCUACCUUCACAACAUCAUGUAUGCAUAUAGAACUCCUCCUAAGUGUAAGCACAUGCUUUGUACUCCUUCCUGAUAGGAUGACAUUGGAGUACGAGUCACAAACGAUUAGAGCUUACCACAGUGGGAAGCGACUAAAGAGUGUUCAAAGAACCCUCAUGCUUGUCAACUUAAUAUUGGUUUGAUCGAGGGUUUUUGAUCUCAUCACUUAUUAACAGUCAUUUUAAUCUAAUUAAAAUUAUUUGGUCCUAUCACAACUAUUAUCCAUGUGAUUUAUUUAGUAGCAUAUGUCCCACUAUAUUUAUAUAAAACGGUUUUUGAAGUAACACAAGCCUAGUGUUGGAUCUCGGUCUAGGGAGGGUGAUUGAUUUCAUUUACGCGUUUAAUCAAAUUAAUGUGUGUUUUCGUAUUGGGCAUUGAACACAACUACUCCAAUUUGCAUGCAUAUCAAAUAAAACAUAAAAUAAGUACUUCAAAGCAAGAGGAUCUUAUGCUCUUUUACAAUACAUUUGAUCUAAUCAAAUCUACAAAUUCUCAUGGUUUAAACAAAUUUGAUAGACGGUCAAAGCUCAAUCAGCGUAGACUUAGGUUUAUAAUCACUCUUGCUUUAGAUAAUCAAUCACAUUAUCUAAUUAAACUAGAAUGCAACAAUAUUAUUUGGUUUUUGUAUUCAUAGAACUGAUUUAAAUGAAGCUAAAUAAAAUGAAAGUCUAAUUCUCAUUUAAAGAGUGUUACAUCCCACAUUGCCCAAGGGAGUGGAUCCUUUAUGCCUUAUAUGUACAUGCUCACCUCCAUUUAGCACGAGGCCUUUUGGGAAUUCACUGGCUUCGAAUUCUAUCUUAACUCUGAAGUUAAGCGAGUUCGCGCCAGAGCAAUCCUAGGAUGGGUGACCCACUGGGAAGUUUUCGUGUGAAUUCCCAGAAACAAAACUGUGAGGACAUGGUCAGGGCCCAAAGCGGAUAAUAUCGUGCUACAGCGGAGUCGAGCCCGGGAUGUGGUGGAGGUUGGGUCGGGAUGUGACAAUUUUGUAUCAGAGCCAAUCCCUGGCCGGAAGUGUGCCAACAAGAACGUCGGGCCUCUAAGGGGGUGGAUUGUUAGAUCCCACAUCGCCUAGGGGAGUGGAUCCUUUAUGCCUUAUAUGUACAUACUCACCUCCAUUUAGCACGAGGCCUUUUGGAAACUCACUAGCUUCGGAUUCCAUUGAAACUCCAAAGUUAAGCAAGUUUGUGCGAGAGCAAUCCCAGGAUGGGUGACCCACUAGGAAGUUCUCGUGUGAGUUCCUAGAAACAAAACCGUGAGGGCGUGGUCGGGGCCCAAAGCGGACAAUAUCGUGCUACGGCGGAGUGGAGCCCAGGUCGAGAUGUGACAAAGAGGGAAAGUUAUUUUGUUUGCUAGCUAAUUUGAGCCAAAAUGCAAUAAUAUCAACUUUUCUAAAUACAAAAAUAUUCACAACUUCAUGGUAUUAUAACUAGAACCUAAAAUUUUCAACAAUUACAAAAACUUCAUUAAAAGAAAAAAACAAUUUAGUGAAUUUGGGCCUUUAUGCAAAAAUAUAAACUUUUGGGUCAAAGUGAAAAACACAAAAGUAUCAAAACUUUAUGUAAUUGCAAGAAAGACCCAAAAGACCCCACUUGCAUAGGGUGGCCGGUUUUGGUAGAGAGAAAGUGAGUGAAAAUUUCAUAAAAAUCAAAGUGUGAGGAAAGAGAGGAAAGUGUGAUGAGUAGAAAAGUACCAUUCAAAUCACACAAAUAAAGACAAGCGAAGACUAAACAAAACACAGAAAUUUUGCAUCAGAACUCCCCCAACGUUUUGUUCUUGCUAUAAACAUGAAUAACAGAACAAUAACCCAUAACGAGCUUCAUGGAUAUUUUUCAUCCAAAGAAACCCAAAACUCUCUCAAACAAAAGGGGUUUCUAAUGUCACUUUAAAACUCUUUUAACAAGACAAACAUGAACCCAAAUUCCACCACAUGUAUUUGGCCAAAUUUCCCCACUAACAUGGCUCCAAAUUUUAGCUCCAAAUUUUAUGCUCAAAUCAACUACAACUACUACUUUUGAGAUUGCAAAUUUUCAAACAAAAUUUACGUUCAAAGAAGCAAGAAUAACCGUGUAACUAUUAUAAAAUUAAAAUCAUAAGCUAUGAACAACAAAAGCCAAAAAGUUCACCAACUACUAGGCCUAGGCUCUUGAUACCACUUGAAGGAAAUUUGUUUGCUAAAUUAAGUUUAUUGAGCAACAUAUUACAUGCAUUUAACUAUUAAUUGGCGGAAGCAUGCUUGUAUGCACUCUAGAACAAAACUUAAACCAUGAAAUUCAAAACCUAAUAUAUUGGUGAACCGAAGACUCAACUCAUGAGACAAAAAGAGAUAAGAUUGCUUUAUACCUUUGAAGUUCCUCUUUGCAUAAGCGAAGGCUAAUCACCAUGAGAGGGCCUUCAUUCCUCUCCUUGAGUUGAACUCUUUGGCCUUCAUCUUCAUGUUUUUGCCUCCUUGAAUUCUAGGAUUUGGUUGACUGAAUGAUUCUCCAAAAACCCCCAAAGUAAAGGCUCUAAGUUCCAACACCAAUGAUGGUUCAGGAAGAAGAUGAGUAAUCAUGGAAGAAAAUAUUGGUAGCUAAAUCUUCCAUGGUGGCCAGCCUCCUUUAGAGAAAGAGAGAGUUUGUGUUCUCUCAUAUUUUCUCAAAGAUAACCCUAAUGAGGUUAAAGGUAUAAAUGCCUUUAUACCUCUUUCGAAUUGAGUGGCAAGCUUGUAAUAAGUCAACCAUCAUUCUCCCUCUAGCAUGGCUGGUUUUGGUGUUUGUGUUUUGGUUAAUUCCUAUUUUGUUUUAGUUGUCAUACAAUUUAAACUCAAUGGGUCUUAUGGACCCCAAACUCAUUUGAGCCCUGAAACCCAAAACCAAUUAAACCCUAAUACAAACUUUUUGUAUGAUUAAUUAACCAAUUAAUUAAUCUUGACCAUAUACAAUUAGGAAUUGGAUUCUCUGCCCUCCCAAUUCGGUGCCCUCCUCGUGCCCUCCUGUUUGUGUGGUCACGGUUAAGCCACGUCAAUAUUUUAUAUUACUUUUUUUUUUUGUCUUAUUAUUUUUAUAAAAAACAAUAUAAAAUGUUAGCAUGGAUUAACCGUGACCACACAAAAUAGGAGGGCACGGGGAGGGCACCGAAAUGGGAGGGCAGAGAAUCCAAGUCCAUACAAUUAACCUAUUUUACUGUCCUUACUCAACUUUGUUAUAUCCUUCAAUCAUUACCUUACUUAGUGUGCGAUAUAUUAGUUUUCCAUAUAAAGAGGCAGUAGGCAAUUAGAUCUCUUAAUAAUUGAUGGUGAAUUGAAAUUUACUUUCAAUUCUCCCUUUGUGAUUCUUUAUCUUCAAGGCUUUCACAAACCAUGAGUGACACCUUAAUCAGAAAAGGUUGGGCUAUCAAUGCAAUUGACCCUUCUUUAAUAUAAUACUCUUGAUUACAUUGUUUGAUUGAUAGUUUGUUCAUGUCUGCUAUCCAAUGUGAUUCUCCUGUCUACAAGACUACCUUGAAACUGAUUUGGAACGACUUCCUAAAUCUCAUUCAUACUUUGGCCAGAGAUUGUUAAUCAUAUCAUAGAGUAAUCUCCCUCAACAGUUGAAAGGUUAGAGAUCCCUUAUUGUACAUUCACGUGCCCACGUGAUUAAGUAGGUUAGCCCCAACAAUGUCGCGGACACUUGCAAAUGGAAGUCCUUUAACAUAAUCAAAGACUAUUGACCUAAUCACAAGACAACUAUAGUGUCCUCAUGUCAAAAAACUACUUUGCAUUAUCCAAUUAUAAGUUCUCAUGUGACAUUAGGGCUGGGUUUGGUACCAUUCAGUUCGGUUUUUUACCGAAACCAAAAAUCGAACCAAAGUUACUAUUUGGUCCGGUUUGGUUCAAUUUUUUUUUUAAUAAUACAAUGAAAGUUGAAGAAACGGGAAGAAAAACAAAUCUUUAGCUAAAAAUAGCACUUCAAAUCCAUUCAAAUCAAACAUAAUUUUUAAAAUAAAAAAUACCAAAUUCCAGAUCAAUAAAAUUGCAGACCCAUGUCACUCAUAUCUAUGAAAAUUAAGCCAUAUCAAAGAAUAAAAUCGACAAUAAUUAUAUACAAUUUGCACCACACUUAGUCGAAUCUUCCAGAUCAAAGCUCAGUGACCGAGGAGAACAAGUCCAUCAUAACAGUUGUGGUGAAAUGUGGCUAGAUCUGGUGCAUGUCAACAAUGGCGAGCGAGAACCACCUUGUUAUCGAGAAUGGCGGAAGCCAUGGAUGACUUCGGCGGAGGUAUGAGUUGGACAGUGGGAUAAAGAGAGAUGCAGCAGGGGAGAAAAAAAGAAAGGGAAAGAAAUGGGUGAGAGGGAGAUGAGAGAAUAGAAGAAGAAAAAAGCAAGAGAGAAAUGGGAGAGGAAGGUGGCGGCAUGAGAGGAAAAAAAAGGAGAAAAAAAUGGAGAGAAGGAACACGGCUGGGGAGAAGAAAAGAAUGAAUAAUUAGUAUGCUAAGGUUUCUAACUUUCUAAUAGGAGGCCUAACAUUCUAUUUGGGCUUGAAAGGUUUGAAGUUUGGGCUUAGAAGUAGUUUGGAAAUAAAUACUCAUUAUAUAUAAUAAUUAAAAAUUAAAAUUAAUAUAUAUUUAUUUGGUUCGUUCGAUUUUGUACUUUUGGUUUUUUCGGUUGCGGUUUCGGUUUUCGGUCCCCUUUUUUUCGGUUUUUCAACCCGCCCCUAUGUGACAUGCAUGUGAGAACUCCAUGUUGAUCACAUUCGUUGGACUCAAUCUCUAUUGAGCACAUACGUACUUGUCUUGGUGUCAUUUAUACCAUUGACUCGAUACCAAUCACUCUCUCAGGAGAGAAGACAUAGUACUAUACGAUUGAUCACUAUCUGGACUCAAAUCAAUGCACAAUAGACUAUACUACGAAUUAUCUAUUGUUAAUAAAAUCGUCUAUAUUCAGAAAAAAUAGAAUGUGUAUACAAGAAAAAGGAUUCAUGAAUAUAACUUCUUUAGAACAUAUUAUUUGCCUUCAACUAAACUAGUUGAAUUUAUCGUGUGAAAUAUUCAUAAAAUAUCAUUUUACGAUUAACUUUAGGGCACAUUACACGUUCAGAUGUUGAUUUGUAAGAUUUUGACCAAGGAUUUGGCCGUUAUAAUCCAUGUAACAUCCAAUACUCCAAAACAUUGUAGAAAAUUACCAAGUUAAAAAUCCUAACGACAAGUUAUGAUUGGGCUUGUGCUUCAACAGAGUCGACAAAUGGUACAUACAUGGACAAGAAUCGUUGUCCGAAAAAUAUAGACAUGCAGUUGCAGAUUCAUUGUUUCCUCACUCGGGAAAUUAAGGGAACACUACCUCAACCUACAUGCUCCACUCACAAAGCUUCAACAUACAAGCUUCAACAAAAGAAAAUUCAAAGAACUUAGCGAAGAAGGCUUUGGUGUAUUUAACACAAUACGUUGAAAUGAAGGAAAGCUUAUUUAUUGAUAUCCCCGAAUAGUUACAAAUAUGUACAUAUACUUGAGUCAAAAUAAACAAACAAGAGGGAGCCUUCACAAAGGUUGCUUAGGAGAAGUCUCAGCAGUCGGUAGAGCCCCAGAAAGAGAAGGCACCGGAGGGGGAUCAUUCAGAGCCUCAGUACUGGACAGAACCCUAGAAGGAGGAGGCAUCAGAGGUUGAUCAUUUGGAGCUUCAUUACGCGGUACAGCCCUAGAAGACGAAGGCAAUAAAUGCCUUUGGAACAAACCCACAAAUCUCUGAUGAUCAAGUAAAACCUGACCAUCAGAUUCCUUCAUCUGGUCAAGCUUCCUCUUCAUGUUUGUAGCAUAGUCAUGUGCGAGCCGGUGCAACUGUUUAUUCUCAUGCUUGAGCCCUCUAAUCUCCUAUUUGAGACUCAUCACUUCAGCCGCCAAUGAUUCAACUUGGCGGGUUCGAGCAAAUAGGCGUUGGGCCAUAUUAGACCGUUUGGACACUGAACACUGAGAGCCAGAGAAUCCUUAACAGCCAACUCAUCAGACCGUUUGGAAAGUAGUCUGUUAUCUUUGGGAGUGAGAAGGUUCCUGGCCACUACUGCAGCGGUCAUAUCAUUCUUCAUCACGGAAUCCCCAACGGUAAGAGGACCAGUAGGGGAGACGAAGGAUGGGCGCCAUAUGUUGUCUGGAGAAGGCGGGGCUGCCUCUUCAACAAGGUUCAAGUCAAAACGACGGUCGGAGGGGCCAGACAUUUUCAAAGGUGUUGAAGAGAGAAGAGGUCGGACAAAUCAAGAUCUUAGAAGUGCAAGAAUAGAGCUUCUACUGGUGGAUAUUCAAGUGUGCUUUGGAACUUAAUGUCAGCCCCUAUAAAAAUCUGCACUCGACGAAGCUUCAGAAAUCGAAGAAGCGCCUGCUCAGAAAUCGAAAAGGCGUUUGCUUUCUCAAAAGCUGGGCUGCUCAGAGACCACGAGGGUCGAUCUCAGAAAUCGAAGAGGCGUCUGCUUUCUCAAAAGCUGGGCUGCUCAAAGACCAUGAAGGCCGAUCUCAGAAAUCGAAGAGGCUUGCUUUCUCAAAAACUGGGCUGCUCAGAGACCACGAAGGCCGAUCUCAAAAAUCGAAGAGGCACAUACUUUUCCAGCUUUGUCAGCACCUGUCACACGCACACUCAGCUUUGCGGAAAUUAUGGGCAUUCUGUCGAAGAUUUCUGGCGAAGUAGAAAGCACAUGAAUCGUACUGUUCAAUCACCCACUUCCCACACGCAACAGUAGCUCAUGGGUACCACAGAUAACUUUGCCAAAGUUCUUUGACAAAGUUGAGACACGUGAAGCUUGCAGCUCCCACUACAUCGCUCUGACCAAGAAGGGUAAAAGAAUAGCAAAUAAACAACACUAACAAAGUUUAGACACAUAAAUUUUGAAGGUCUAGCUACCAUAUUAUUACCCACAAGGGUAAAGGAAUAGUACCACUGCUGGAUAAUUGGAAAGUCCCGGUGUAUCAACCUCUGUGCUUCGUGGCAAGGUAGACUAGCAAACAUGCCCAACCUUUACUCACAUUCGAGAAAACACUCCCAACAAGAUUGCUUGCUCCAAAAUCGAAGAGGCACCGCCCUUCGAAUCUCGAGAGCCAGACUCCCAACAUGAUUACUUUCUCAAAAAUCGAAGAGAGGGUAAAGGAACAGUACCACUGCUGGAUAAUUGCAAAGUCCCUGUGUGUCAACCUCUGUGCUUCGUGGCAAGGUAGACUAGCAAACAUGCCCAACCUUUACUCACAUUCGAGAAAACACUCCCAACAAGAUUGCUUGCUCCAAAAUCGAAGAGGCACCGCCCUCCGAAUCUCGAGAGCCAGACUCCCAACAUGAUUACUUUCUCAAAAAUCGAAGAGAGGGUAAAGGAACAGUACCACUGCUGGAUAAUUGGAAAGUCCCUGUGUGUCAACCUCUGUGCUUCGUGGCAAGGUAGACUAGCAAACAUGCCCAACCUUUACUCACAUUCGAGAAAACACUCCCAACAAGAUUGCUUGCUCCAAAAUCGAAGAGGCACUGCCCUCCGAAUCUCGAGAGCCAGACUCCCAACAUGAUUACUUUCUCAAAAAUCGAAGAGACACCCCUCCCCGAAUCUCGAGAGCCAGACCCCCAGCAGGAUUGUUUUCUCAAAAAUCGAAAAGGCAUCGUUCUCCGAAUCUCGAGAGCCAGAUCCCCGACAGGAUUGCUUGUUCGAAAACCGAAGAGGCACCACUUUCCCAACUUCAAGAGCUGGAUCUCCUUGGAUAAAGCUUAUCUGUAAUCUUCACACGCAACAUCAGCUUUCCAGAUACCAUAGACCACUUUUUCAAAGUGCUCUGACAGAGUUAAAACAUGUGAAGUUGGCAGCUCCCACUACCGUGCUAUGACUAAGCAGGGUAAAGGAAUAGCAUUAUUACUUGAUGUUAGGGAGACUCCUAUAUAUGUCGACCUCCAUCCCCAACGGACAGCUAGACCUGCAAAAAUGCUCAACCCUUCCUCUUAUCUGAGAGGGCACUCCCAACGAAGCCUUUCAAAAUAUUCAGCUUUCUUUCCCCCCGAUAAUACCUCUGUAAACAAGCUAUACUAGAGCAAGAAUAUCUCAUAUCAUCAGGGUUAAAAGCAAGAGUAUCCCAUAUCAUGCUUUUUCCCUGUCUUUUCCUUUGGCCUUGUUCUUACCUGCAAGACAAGGAGAAAGAGAGCAAUCAGUCAGCACUUGGAAUCAAGCUUCCAGCCAGGAACUGACUGCCUGGAACCCCUUACCUGAUUACUUACCUGGCAUUGCUCUCGAGUACUCAUCUUCAACAUCUUAUGCUUCUAGGGAAGAUACCGCAUCUGCCUGAGGAACAUAUAGGGCAAGUGAGAAAGAUACAAGGAAGCAUGUGGAGACAAGUGUAACAGCACACGUGCCGAUACAUCCACUACUCUGUCAAAAGCAAACGUAUCCCAUAUCAGUAGGGUCGAACGUACUCUAGAUUUGAUGGACUUGUUUUGACCCUCAAAUUCUUCAGUCGACCUUAUACUCUGGAGGAAACCAGAAAACCCUCAAGCCCAGUUCAAGAAUAAGCCUGUGGAAAGUUACUUCUUCAAAAGCAAAAGUAUCCCAUAUCAUCUCUUCUCAUUUUUCUUCUCUUUAUCCUUCAUACUGCCUGCAAGAUAGGGAGAAUGUGAACAAUCAGCCGGAGCUCUGAUUGCUUACCUUGUCUGUCACCUCUUUCAGCAGAUCCCCUAACUCGGCGACUUGGGGGACUCCUACUACAUGGUUUGUAUCGCGCUUGACCAAGCCUGAAACUACAAGUAAGCUUCAAGUGAAAUUGAUACAUUACCUUGUGCAUCUCCACCAGUUACAGAUACCACCCCUGGAUGGAGGAAGAGUACUUCCAGAGAAGAUGCACAAUCUACCUAUAAGACAGAUAAGGCAAGUCAAGACGAUACCACACUCCGGUACUUAGAAGUUUCGUGGUUACGAGAUCAUUCUCCCACAAUAUUUCCUAAUGUCAUUUGUACUAAAUCAUUCACUUGUACUCACUAAAGGAGAGCUUGAACCUAUGUACUUGUGUAAACCCUUCACAAUUAAUGAGAACUCCUCUAUUCCGUGGACGUAGCCAAUCUGGGUGAACCACGUACAUCUUGUGUUUGCUUUCCUAUCUCUAUCCAUCUAUAUACUUAUCCACACUAAUGACCGGAGCAAUCUAGCAAAGAUCACAAAAAGUGACCGUUUUCGCUACCUAGGAUCUAUCUUGCAAGAGAACGGAGAAUUAGAUGGAGAUCUCAACCAUAGAAUACAAGCUGGAUGGAUGAAGUGUAAGAGUGCAUCCGGCGUGUUGUGUGACCGUCGUAGGCCACUGAAGCUCAAGGGAAAAUUUUAUAGGACGGCAAUAAGGCCAGCGAUGUUGUAUGACACAGAAUGUUGGGCAACGAAGCAUCAACACGUACACAAAAUGGGUGUAGCGGAGAUAAGGAUGCUUCGUGGGAUGUAUGGGCACACGAGAAAGGAUAAGAUUGGGAAUGAGGAUAUUCGAGGUAAAGUAGGAGUAGCCAAAAUUGAAGGAAAUAUGAGAGAAAAUCGGUUCCGAUGGUUUGGACAUGUGCAAAGAAGGCCUACUGACGCUCCGGUUUGAAAAUGUGACUACGGGAUAGAGGUUCAGGACCGAAGGAGUAGAGGAAGACCUAGGAAAACUUUGGAAGAGACCCUAAGAAAAGACUUGAGUACUUGGAUCUAACGGAGGACAUGACACAAAACCGAGCGUAAUGGCGUUCUAUGAUUCAUAUAGCCAACCCCACUUAGUGAGAAAAGGCUUUGUUGUUGUUGUUGCAGAUUCAUUGUAAACGAGGAGAUAGCCUACACAUAAAUUUGAGUCUUCCAUCCAACAUAGAACAUUGAAUCCUCCCACAAAGUAAAAGGUGCACAAUAGACCAGAAACUGAAACAAUUAAAAGGGAGAACACAAAAAAAAAGAACUGCCAAACCAUUGUCAAAGGACCACAACAUGAGUCUACUACUUUCUUUCAAGGCUUGAUUACAAAAACCAUAACAUAAAAAUGGAAGCUAGGAAUCCCAAAUUAAAAUUAAGCCCUCUUCCUUUUUUUUUUUUUUCCCUUUUCUUUGGUUCUCAAGUGAGUUGGGAUUUUGACAUGAGUAUCACUUGGCCAUCAUCACCUU
rnacentral:lncRNA from 1 species